AGCAGCCGCGGUAAUUCCAGCUCCAAUAGCGUAUAUUAAAGUUGUUGCAGUUAAAAAGCUCGUAGUUGAAUUUCGGGAUCAAUCUAUCGGUCGUGCAAUAGUACGUACUGAUUUUAUUGAUUCCUCCCUUCUGAUGAACUAUGAUGUCAUUAAUUUGGUGUCAUAGGGAAUCAGGACUGUUACUUUGAAAAAAUUAGAGUGUUUAAAGCAGGCUCACGCUUGAAUACAUUAGCAUGGAAUAACGAAAUAGGACGUUUGAUUCUAUUUUGUGGUUUCUAGGAUCGACGUAAUGAUUAAUAGGGAUAGUUGGGGGCAUUAGUAUUCAAUUGUCAGAGGUGAAAUUCUUGGAUUUAUUGAAGACUAACUACUGCGAAAGCAUUUGCCAAGGAUGUUUUCAUUAAUCAAGAACGAAAGUUAGGGGAUCGAAGACGAUCAGAUACCGUCGUAGUCUUAACCAUAAACUAUAGCCGACUAGGGAUCGGAUGAUGUUAAUUUUUAUGACUCAUUAC
rnacentral:rRNA from 1 species